GGACUGGUGAGCUCAGUAGGUUGAGCCCGAUGCUGACAACAAUGACAACACCGAGGCUGCGGGUUCAAUUCCUGCUCAGUCCA
rnacentral:tRNA from 1 species